rnacentral:rRNA from 1 species
UACGUAGGGUGCGAGCGUUAAUCGGAAUUACUGGGCGUAAAGCGUGCGCAGGCGGUGAUGUAAGACAGAUGUGAAAUCCCCGGGCUCAACCUGGGACCUGCAUUUGUGACUGCAUCGCUAGAGUACGGUAGAGGGGGAUGGAAUUCCGCGUGUAGCAGUGAAAUGCGUAGAUAUGCGGAGGAACACCGAUGGCGAAGGCGGCUUCCUGGACCGACACUGACGCUGAGGCGCGAAAGCAUGGGGAGCGAACAGG